rfam:HIV-1 clone TZBFL0025 from Tanzania, partial genome.
GGACCCGGCUUGCCUGAAGCGCGCACGGCAAGAGGCGGGGGG